CGGGGCGUAGCGCAGCCUGGUAGCGCACACGUCUGGGGGGCGUGGGGUCGCUGGUUCAAAUCCAGUCGCCCCGACGA
rnacentral:tRNA from 1 species